CCAAUAGCGUAUAUUAAAGUUGUUGCAGUUAAAAAGCUCGUAGUUGAAUUUCGGGAUCAAUAUGUCGGUCGUGCCUCGGUACGUACUGGCGUCAUUGGUUUCUCCUUUCUGAAGAACCAUGAUGUCAUUUAUUUGGUGUCGUGGGGAAUCAGGACUGUUACUUUGAAAAAAUUAGAGUGUUUAAAGCAGGCUCACGCUUGAAUACAUUAGCAUGGAAUAAUGAAAUAGGACGUUUGAUUCUAUUUUGUUGGUUUCUAGGAUCGACGUAAUGAUUAAUAGGGAUAGUUGGGGGCAUUAGUAUUCAAUUGUCAGAGGUGAAAUUCUUGGAUUUAUUGAAGACUAACUACUGCGAAAGCAUUUGCCAAGGAUGUUUUCAUUAAUCAAGAACGAAAGUUAGGGGAUCGAAGACGAUCAGAUACCGUCGUAGUCUUAACCAUAAACUAUGCCGACUAGGGAUCGGAUGAUGUUAAUUUUUUAAUGACUCAUUCGGCGCCUUACG
rnacentral:rRNA from 1 species